CUCCAUAAGGAGUCGGUGAAUGUGGUGGAAGGUUCUUCUUCUAAAUGUUAACCCUUUAAGAAAAGAAAAAAAGAACAAGAAGAGUAAGAAGAAGGUGCAAAAUGCUGGGGCACCUAAGCCUAGUUAGAUCAAAAAAUCUAAGUCCGAUCAGAGUUAGACGGAAUGCUUCUACUGUAAGAAGCAGGGGCACUAGAAGAGGAAUUAUCCUCAAUACAUUGCCUCUCU
rnacentral:lncRNA from 1 species